UACGAAGGGGGCUAGCGUUGCUCGGAUUGACUGGGCGUAAAGGGCGCGUAGGCGGUUUGUACAGUCAGACGUGAAAUUCCUGGGCUCAACCUGGGGGCUGCGUUUGAUACGUGCGGGCUUGAGUUCGGAAGAGGGUCGUGGAAUUCCCAGUGUAGAGGUGAAAUUCGUAGAUAUUGGGAAGAACACCGGUGGCGAAGGCGGCGACCUGGUCCGAUACUGACGCUGAGGCGCGAAAGCGUGGGGAGCAAACAGG
rnacentral:rRNA from 1 species